AAUUCUGAAGUCAUUCAUAUUCACAAGCCCAUUUGAUUCUCAAUAAUCUUGGGAUACACAAGUGAAAUUAAGACUCAUAACAUUUGACAGUUAAUGAGAAGAACCGUGAGGCUAGUCUUAGCACUGUCCCAGCUGCUUCCUUGGCAUAAAGCUUCAUGUGAGGACAGUAAGUCUGUGUGACCAACCCAUCUUAAAACACCCACACAUUUGUCCCUGACACGGUCCACCUCAAGUGCUGAGGUACACAUUUUAAACAAUUUUCACUUACUUCCUGAAAAACAAGGACAGAGCUGAAUCUAUAGUGCUUUUGUCUUCAGUGGGUGCCUUUUAAAAUAAGUCAUAUCAUCC
rnacentral:lncRNA from 1 species